GUGCUUACUUCAGUAGCACAUAUACUAAAAUUGGAAUUAUACAAAGAUCAACUUGGUACAUGUUGAAGGAUUACAAGCAAAUUUGAGAAUCAGUCCAUAUUUUU
ensembl:snRNA U6 U6 spliceosomal RNA